GAUGAACGCUGGCGGCGUGCCUAAUACAUGCAAGUCGAGCGAACAGACGAGGAUCUUGCUCCUCUGACGUUAGCGGCGGACGGGUGAGUAACACGUGGAUAACCUACCUAUAAGACUGGGAUAACUUCGGGAAACCGGAGCUAAUACCGGAUAAUAUAUUGAACCGCAUGGUUCAAUAGUGAAAGACGGUUUUGCUGUCACUUAUAGAUGGAUCCGCGCCGCAUUAGCUAGUUGGUAAGGUAACGGCUUACCAAGGCAACGAUGCGUAGCCGACCUGAGAGGGUGAUCGGCCACACUGGAACUGAGACACGGUCCAGACUCCUACGGGAGGCAGCAGUAGGGAAUCUUGCGCAAUGGGCGAAAGCUUGACGGAGCAACGCCGCGUGAGUGAUGAAGGUCUUCGGAUCGUAAAACUCUGUUAUUAGGGAAGAACAAAUGUGUAAGUAACUAUGCACGUCUUGACGGUACCUAAUCAGAAAGCCACGGCUAACUACGUG
rnacentral:rRNA from 1 species